rnacentral:rRNA from 1 species
ACUUUAAUUUAAUUCUUUCUGCUUUGAAUCGAAAGGUUCAAGGCAAACCAAACAAACACAAACAAUUUUAUUUUAUUAUAAUUUUUUAAACUAAACCAAAAUUCCUAACGGAAAUUUUAAAAUAAUUUAAAACUUUCAACAACGGAUCUCUUGGUUCUCGCAUCGAUGAAGAACGUAGCGAAUUGCGAUAAGUAAUGUGAAUUGCAGAUACUCGUGAAUCAUUGAAUUUUUGAACGCACAUUGCGCCCUUGAGCAUUCUCAAGGGCAUGCCUGUUUGAGCGUCAUUUCCUUCUCAAAAGAUAAUUUUUUAUUUUUUGGUUGUGGGCGAUACUCAGGGUUAGCUUGAAAUUGGAGACUGUUUCAGUCUUUUUUAAUUCAACACUUAGCUUCUUUGGAGACGCUGUUCUCGCUGUUGAUGUAUUURUGGAUUUAUUCGUUUUACUUUACAAAGGGAAAUGGUAAUGUACCUUAGCCAAAGGAUUGCUGAUAAUAUUCAUCGAGUUUGACCCCAAUCAGGUAGGAUACCGCUGAACUUAAGCAUAUCAA